GAUGAAGAACGUAGCGAAAUGCGAUAAGUAAUGCGAAUUGCAGAAUUCAGUGAGUCAUCGAAUCUUUGAACGCACAUUGCGCCCGCCAGUAUUCUGGCGAGCAUGCCUGUUCGAGCGUCAUUUCAACCAUCAAGCCCCAGGCUUGUGUUGGAGCCCUGCGGCUGCCGCAGCCUCCCAAAACCAGUGGCGGGCUCGCUAUCACACCGAGUGCAGUAGUUUACUCUUCGCUCAGGGCGUGUGGCGGGUGCUAGCCGUGAAACCCCCAACUUCUCAAGGUUGACCUCGGAUCAGGUAGGAAUACCCGCUGAACUUAAGCAUAUCAAUAAGCGGAGGA
rnacentral:misc_RNA from 1 species